GGGUCUGCUUCCAGUAAUAUCAAGCUCACUCCUAAUCCUGCUGUUGAACAGUCCUGAUUCUUAGAAGUUUCUUUGUGGAGACAGACCAAAUGCUAAUAGUGGCUGAUUUUUCAGGAACAACAAUUUUGGAAAACUGAGUUAUCUAUUCAGCAUCAUUUUUACAAAGGUACUUUGAAAAAUGUUUAAUUCAAUGAUAAAGAGCCUGCCCAAGAGUUUAAAAUACAAUAAAAACAAGAACGUACAUCAAUUGUUGAUCCCAUCUGAUGGCAGUCUGUCCUUGAGCAUAUAGCUAAAAGGAUUUUCUCUGUAUCAAGUGGCACAACUACGGUGGACAUUCUGGAAACCAGGUGUCUGUUUGUAUGAAAAUGGUUGGAAGAAACAGAUCAGCACCCACAUCAGCGUAAUGUCUUCAUGGUCUUAUGCUGCAAUAAAGGGAAUGAUGCAUGCUUCACUGCAGAAAAACUAUAACUGCUGAGAAGUUCUUAUAAACCAAUGAUCUCAAAAUUAUUUUGGUAAUUUUUUUCUUCCAAAUAAAAUUAGAUAAACUCUACAUCCCUUCACUGCGCUCAAUACCCACCUUCUGUAAAAAGCAUGAAGAAAACUUCAAUGGACCAACAAGGCUGUAACACUGGGGGAAAUGAUUGAUUUCACUUAAACACCACCACCAACAAAAAAUGUUUAAAAACAGUUUCACGGCGCAACUUUCUCCUUGCUUUUUUUUCUUAUAGUUGGAAUGUAUUUUAUCGUCUGUCAGUUUUGCCCCUAUGAUAUGUCCUCUUAAAUUGGAUCUGUAAGCCCUUCAUAAAGUUUAAUAAAUCUUCAGCAUUUCACCCUAAGGAAAUUAUAUUAAAAACCUUCAAAUGUGAAGUUGGGCCCACAGACACACAGUGCUGGGA
rnacentral:lncRNA from 1 species